rnacentral:antisense_RNA from 2 species
CUCAAUGGCAGACCGGACGAGGGCGUCGAAAGACGCGCCGGUUUCCUGUAACACCGGUAAGGCUAACCUCGUUCGGUUCUGCCACCCGC